CGUAUCCUACGGGGGGCAGCAGUGAGGAAUAUUGGUCAAUGGCCGAGAGGCUGAACCAGCCACGUCGCGUGAGGGAUGACGGCCCUACGGGUUGUAAACCUCUUUUGUCGGGGAGCAAAGAGAGUCACGUGUGGCUCAUUGAGAGUACCCGAAGAAAAAGCAUCGGCUAACUCCGUGCCAGCAGCCGCGGUAAUACGGAGGAUGCGAGCGUUAUCCGGAUUUAUUGGGUUUAAAGGGUGCGCAGGCGGAGGGGCAAGUCAGUGGUCAAAUUGCGGGGCUCAACCCCGUCGAGCCGUUGAAACUGC
rnacentral:rRNA from 1 species